rnacentral:rRNA from 1 species
UGGGGAAUAUUGCACAAUGGGCGCAAGCCUGAUGCAGCCAUGCCGCGUGUGUGAAGAAGGCCUUCGGGUUGUAAAGCACUUUCAGCGAGGAGGAAGGUGGUGAGCUUAAUACGCUCAUCAAUUGACGUUACUCGCAGAAGAAGCACCGGCUAACUCCGUGCCAGCAGCCGCGGUAAUACGGAGGGUGCAAGCGUUAAUCGGAAUUACUGGGCGUAAAGCGCACGCAGGCGGUUUGUUAAGUCAGAUGUGAAAUCCCCGGGCUCAACCUGGGAACUGCAUUUGAAACUGGCAAGCUAGAGUCUCGUAGAGGGGGGUAGAAUUCCAGGUGUAGCGGUGAAAUGCGUAGAGAUCUGGAGGAAUACCGGUGGCGAAGGCGGCCCCCUGGACGAAGACUGACGCUCAGGUGCGAAAGCGUGGGGCAGCAAACAGGAUUAGAUACCCUGGUAGUCCACGCUGUAAACGAUGUCGAUUUUGGAGGUUGUGCCCCUUGAGGCGUGGCUUCCGGAGCUAGCGCGUUAAAUCGA